AUCGCUUCUCAGCCUUUUGGCUAAGAUCAAGUGGAGUAUCGGUUCUGAUCAGUUUGAUAUCUGAUACGUCCCCUAUCUGAGGACAAUAUAUUAAAUAGAUUUUUGGAGCAAUGAGAUGGCAUCCGAGCUUGCUCCAUCCACUCCGUGCAUUGACCUGGUAUUGCGGUACCUCCAGGAAUGGGGUGCACGCCCU
ensembl:snRNA U2 U2 spliceosomal RNA